GACCUUGCGUCUCCAGCCCAAGCGUUAAGCUGAAGGCUGAUGGCUGGUGGCUCUUGCCACCGGCCU
rfam:Pseudomonas fluorescens SBW25 complete genome